GGUGCUUUAAUAUUACUACUUGUGAUGAUGAUGUAGUCUCAAUAUAGUGAGAAGAUGUUGAUGUAUGACUACUUCCUAUCUAGGAGACCAUUGUGAAAUCCAGAAAGAGAAUAGGAAUACAUCUGUCAUAACACCAUGAAUGAAUCAUCUGAAUGAACUCUAUCUUGAGAAACCAGUAAACUGUAAAGUUGAACUGGAAAAUACACCUUCAUGCCAGCUGCAACUGAUAAGAAAGUUUACUGUCUGAUAGUAGUCUUGUGAGUAUGUAAGUGGCAAAACUUGGCUCUGAGUAUCACCUGGGCAAGGUAAUUUUGAAUUGAAUUGACAUUCUUUGAUAAUUAAGU